rnacentral:rRNA from 1 species
UCCAGACUCCUACGGGAGGCAGCAGUGGGGAAUAUUGGACAAUGGGGGGAACCCUGAUCCAGCGACGCCGCGUGAGUGAAGAAGUAUUUCGGUAUGUAAAGCUCUAUCAGCAGGGAAGAAAGAAAUGACGGUACCUGACUAAGAAGCCCCGGCUAACUACGUGCCAGCAGCCGCGGUAAUACGUAGGGGGCAAGCGUUAUCCGGAUUUACUGGGUGUAAAGGGAGCGUAGACGGCGAUGCAAGUCUGAAGUGAAAGGCGGGGGCCCAACCCCCGGACUGCUUGGGAAACUGUAUAGCUGGAGUGCAGGAGAGGUAAGGGGAAUUCCUAGGGUAGCGGUGAAAUGCGUAGAUAUUAGGAGGAACACCAGUGGCGAAGGCGGCUUACUGGACUGUAACUGAC